AUUUGCUGCAAUCACACUGAAGAUGAUAGAAACUCCCAUUUUAGUGUCCAUAAGUGAGGUUUGAUUGGCACAUGCACAGCCGUGCCUUAUUUGUUUAUGUAUUUUCUGCAGAGUUGAGCCUUGGCAGCAGAGACCUUCUGACCUGCAAAGCCUGAAAUAUUUACACCCUGCUUCUUUCUAGAAAGGGUCGGUUGACCUCUGUUUUCUAGGAAUGUAUUCUAAGGAAACUAUAGAAAAGCAAUGCCCAUCACUGAAGGACUGGUUAAUGAAUGAUGAGGCCAUUUAGAAGUAUUCUGCAGAGCUAUAGAGAAGGAUGUCUAUUGCUGGACAGAGAUGACCAUCAUUGUUUUUACUUUUUUGGUUUUUACUUUUUUUGGUCCUUCUGCUAAAAAGUCACCUGCCACCUACACUGCUUGAUGUUGCUGAUUCUUGCAAGAUGUGCUUUCUGUAUUAUUCAGAAAUAUUCAAUGCUGAUAUCAAGAGCAAUAAAAACAAAUGGAAUGAAAGAAAUUCAUAAGAAGUGUUAAUUAUAGAUAGUGAGUGAGUUAGGGAGGCAUGAGCAUGCUGGAUGCAGGCAGAAUAGAGGGGCAAGUGUGCUAGGCAUAGAGAAUAGGGUGGGAGAGUGAGUGUUAUUUGUAGAUAAGAAGAAAUGGGAGGCCCCAGCAAACCUGAAAGAUUCAGAAGACACUGAUCCCAUCUCCUUGAAAUUGAUAGUUGUGCCUUUUGUAAAUUCUGGCCCCAGAUGUCGUCGGCCCAAGAUUGACAGAUGAAAUCGGUGGCUGCUCGGCAGGUUCUCUGUGAGUUACAGCUGCGUGCAGAUGUUCUCCCCCAACUCUAUGCAGAGCCAGGGGAGGAAAACGAGCGCACUACGGGGUAAAGGAGGUCACCCAAGAUCUCAAGUUCACGAGUGGCAGCCUGGAUUCAAGUCCCUGCCUGCCUCCAGAACCUGAGCUCUGAAACGCUGGACUAAUCAGAACCUCUUGGCCCUGAAAAAUGAGGCCUAUUGAACAAAGACAUUUGUGAGAAAAGGGACUAUUACAACCUAGUGUAAAGUAACAAGCAAAUAAAAAAUGAAAUGGCACAACUCCUCCCCACGCUCCGAACUCUCGACCCUCCUUCAUGGUUCUGCAUAGCCCUCACCCUGCAACACACACACCAUUUGUAUAUUGCUCACUCUCUGUCUUCCUCCACUAGAAUGCAAGCUUCCUAGAGCAGGCCUCUGCUGUUUUGUGCCUCUAGUCCACAAGGAGAGUGUACUGGUGCCCUGUGGACACGAGGUAAGUGUUAAAUGAAUGAGUAGAUGCAUCGCUUUACUUUCACCUUAACCCUGAAAGCGGUUAGCCACUAGCUGGGCCACAAGGAUCGGGCUGGGGAGACUUGUAGCCUGUAGCUGGUGAUUGAUGUUGAGGACAAAGUCAACUGGCAUCUGGGAAAGCCUGGGUUUGAGAGAAAAGAAGCCGCAACUGCCAUAUUGCUUCCCGUAUAGUAACCACCAAGCACUUGCAA
rnacentral:lncRNA from 1 species